UAAACGUUUGGAAAAAGUUGCUCAAAAUUAAAGGCUUUCCCUGGGGAGUCGUCGCUGCUGCCCUUGCCGCCAAAGCUAUGCCGAUUGCGUAUAAUGCCACCGUUGCCAACGCCUGCAGCUCCUGCUCCGCCGGCGCCGCUGUGUGCUG